rnacentral:tRNA from 1 species
GGCGAGAUAGCUCAGGUGGUUAGAGCGCAGCAUUCAUAAUGCUGAGGUCGUGAGUUCAAGUCUCACUCUCGCUACCA